ensembl:lncRNA
UGUUGUUUAAAAACAAUGAUAUGAAGUUAUUUUAAACUAUUUCUCAGUUGGAGUGGACCUGCUUUGGUUUUCAUGCCUUAACUUUCAAGAAACACUUGGCUGGUGAGAAGAAUUAUAGGACACUCAUUAGUCACCAAUACGGUGAGCAAUGAGGCCUUCAAAUGUAGCCAAAAUAAGGAGCUUUAGAUUACAGGUGUCCUUGUUCUCCAUAAGUAACACAGGGUCAUGAUGAUAUUUUGAAUUAGCAGCAAAGAGAGUCUUGAAUAAGUAAGCAAUAAAACAUAAUGGGGCAUACUGUUAAUAGUCAAUGACAUGUUGGGGUCAUAUAAUCAGACUAUCCCAAAAUUGAUUAAUUUCCUACAGCAGCAUGUCCCAAAAUUUUUUUAAAUUUGAACUCUUAUAGCACAGCAAUUUGCCAAUGAGUGAAAUAUAUUUUUUAUAAUUAAAGAACAAACAAGUCGUACUUUGUAUCCGUUCAUAGUUACGCUUCAUGUUGUGGAAGUUGCUUCCUAUUAUCACUUCUGUUAUAACAGCUAUAAACGGUUAUUCCCUCACUAGCUUCUCUUUUUUUUUCAUCUCGCUCUCAAAGUUAAUAAGACAAAAAAAACAACAACUUGUAGUUCGACAGAGAAACCACUAAAUGCAUAGUCUACGAAUUAACUGUUACUAUGCAUAGAACUGUAGAAAUCAUUACGGAUUAUUACAUUAAUAAGCGGAUUAAUAUGCAACCUGUGAUUUGCAACUGUACUCCUGGCAUAGCUCCUGUUACAGAAAAUCAAACAACAGCUUCUGACCAAUCAGAAUCCAACAACAGUGGUACACAGUAAUAUAUUGCAUAAUCAGUUAUCAGCAGUGUUGGGUAAGUUACUCCAGAAAAAGUAAUCCACUACAGAUGACUAAUUACUACUUUCAAAUUGUAAUCUGAUUACAUUACUGUUUACUGUUUUCUUAACAAUAAAUUUGUAAUGCACGUAAUGUCAUUUUAUUGACAUCAGUGACUGUAAUCAAAUGGUAUGAAGUAAAAAUAUAAUGCGUUACAUUACUGCGUUAUCAGAAAAAGUCAUUAGAAUACAGUAACGUGUUACACCCAACUCUGGUUAUCGGCACAUCUUGAGAGGACCGUCACAAGCCGAGACAGAGGUCUUGAUCUGUGCAAAACGAACACGGUGAACCUGAGACUGAACUGUAAAGGCCAACGAGGGAAAGUGCUUUUCUUCAAAGUCUUGGAACGAUGGAUGAUGUAUAGGCUGGUACGAGUCCACUGCAGUACUGUACGCUUCAAACACCCUUCAAAUACACAUCAAUCAGGAAGGAAGUUAUUGAAGAAAAAUGAUUUCAGACAUUUAACCUUGCUGUGAUCUUGACCCUGUUUGGAUCAAUCCAAAAUCGAAUCAGUUCAUCUCCUGGUUACGAUGAUAAUGCCAUAUAAAUCCCACAAACAUUCAACCACUCACUGUAAAGACACUGCAUUUGAGUCUCGGAUGGAUGGACGGACAGACGGACAACCUUGUUGAAGGAAUAAAAAGACAGAAUAUGGUAGAAAUGCAAUGUUAUUCAGUACAUGUUACACAGAAGUGUAGUGUUAAUUGCAUAAAUAACAUUAAACAAUAUAACGUAAAUGAUAUAAACAUUAUCGCAUUAUAAAGUCCCUUUUCAAGAGUAUAUCACAGAACUGCUUUCACUACAAACAGCACUUUAGUGCAAGGUUGGUUUAUUAUUUGCAGUGCAGCUCUCGGAAUUUACAGCCCCAAAGAGUGCUUGAAAAUCCCAACAGUACAAAAGUUUCACGGAAAAAUAUUCUAUAUAAUUACUUCUACAAGGAAGUGAAAUGAAUUGAACUACACUACUAUUAAAACGUUGUGCCUUUUCCAUUCAUAACUUCAUAAGCCCCCUGGUGAAUCCCACCAACAAAUCAUAAUAAGCAAAUUUACAGUAUAUAACUCCAAUUUCCACUCCAACAAAAUUAUCUUCCCCAUUAAAGGCAGAUAUUUUAAACCGAGGGUGCAGCCCCAAAAAGGCUCAGACAAAGCCAGCCCAGGUCCUCAAACUAUACACAGAAAAUAGAAGACGACACGAAACGAGCAUUUAGUUCAUUGUUAAAUCAACUCUUAGAACUGCCUGAACACACAAAACAGCUACUUCCAAGUACUUACUGGCCUGAAACACUUCAUUAGCACUGGAUUGGAUUUGACAAAUCUUUUCAAUCCGGUCCACUGAAUUCUUUCAUGUUGUAAACGUCUGCGAUGCUAACUGACACAAAACAGAUCCUACAUGUGAAUAUAAGAUUUAACCUGACUUAUACAGUGUUGAUGAAUUCUCAAAUCUGAUUGGUCAGAAAGUGUGGAUUAAUUCUCUCUAACAGCAGCUCUGAAAAUAGUGCCAGCUGUCAUUCAAAUCACAAGUUUACAUGAACGCAGUUAUUCAUACACGUUACUGUUUCUAGAAAAUCAGCUCACUCAUGGAAACUCAUGAGGCCGCUGUGGCUCAGGUGGUAGAGCGGGUUAUCCGCUAAUCGUAGGGUUGGCGGUUUGAUUCCCGGCCCACGUGACUCCACAUGCCGAAUUGUCUUUGGGCAAGACACUGAACCCCAAGUUGCUCUUGAUGGCAAGCUAGCACCCUGCAUGGCAGUUCUGCUACCACUGGUAUGUGUGUGUGUGUGCGUGUGUGAAUUUGUAAGUUAAAAAAGCGCUAUAUAAGUGCAGACUAUGUACCAUAACCAUAAUCCGAGUGUAAUAAUUUUUUUGUAACAGAUUUAAAAAAAAAAAAAAAACUUUUUUAACAAACCCCGCUGUACAUUUACUGAUCUGAUGAAGCUUUCUCUGAUGAGAUGUUUAACAUUUAUAGAAGGACUGUUUGAUUAACACUUCUCUAUUGAAGCAUUUCACAGUUCAUCACUUUCAAAGAUGAAUAUUGUUCAUUAACACCCGUAGUUCAAUCCAGAUGUUUACUCACUGAACUGUAGGCGUUCAAUCCAGAUGUUUACUCAAGACUGCAACAAUUUAUUGCCGUGUGCUAGACAACUUACUUCAAUAAUCAGUUCCAGAUAUGAUGUUCAAUACAAGAGUACCAAAGGAUUUCACUUGUAAACCGACAGAAGUUGCGCAACAAUGUUUCAAAAUGAAUCCGCAUCAGCUAUUUCCAGGAUAUUCUGUCAUGUUUUCAAGGAUUACUGGAGAUUGAAUAUUCUUGGUGAAUAUUAAAGAAGCCAUCUCAGUGCAUGAAGUGGAUUACUUUAUGGGAUUCCGAUAAGAGAGGGCUAAAAUGGGUGCUGAAAGAGCCAGCUUUCUUCACGGAUCGUGGGGAACCUGGAACCUAUCCCAGCGAGCAUCGGGCACAAGGCGGGGUACACCCUGGACAGGGUGCCAAUUCAUCGCAGGGCACAAUCACACACACACUCUCACACCCAUUCAUACACUAUGGACACUUUGGACAUGCCAAUCAGUCUACCAUGCAUGUCGUUGGACUGGGGGAGGAAACCGGAGUACCCGGAGGAAACCCCCGCAGCACGGGGAGAACAUGCAAACUACGCACACACAUGGCAGCGGCGGAAAUCGAACCCCCGACCCUGGAGCCAUCUCAACCAGUACCGAGGGUUCCGAUUCUAAUGAAAGUACCGAGG